GACAGAGGUGCCGAGCGUUAGGCGGAAUCACUGGGCUUAAAGCGUGUGUAGGCGGGUCGCUAAGUGCCUUGUGAAAUCCCACAGCUCACCUGUGGAACUGCUUGGCAUACUGGCGGUCUUGAGCCACUUAGGGGCAACCGGAACAAACGGUGGAGCGGCGAAAUGCGUAGAUAUCGUUUGGAACGCCAAUGGUGAAAACAGGUUGCUGGGAGUGCGCUGACGCUGAGACACGAAAGCCAGGGGAGCGAACGGG
rnacentral:rRNA from 1 species